GCCAGACCCCUACGGGAGGCAGCAGUGGGGAGUAUUGCACAAUGGGGGAAACCCUGAUGCAGCGACGCCGCGUGAGCGAUGAAGUAUUUCGGUAUGUAAAGCUCUAUCAGCAGGGAAGAAAAUGACGGUACCUGACUAAGAAGCCCUGGCUAACUACGUGCCAGCAGCCGCGGUAAUACGUAGGGGGCAAGCGUUAUCCGGAUUUACUGGGUGUAAAGGGAGCGUAGACGGUCCUGCAAGCCAGAUGUGAAAGCCCGGGGCUCGACCCCAGGACUGCAUUUGGAACUGUAAGGCUAGAGUGUCGGAGAGGCAGGCGGAAUUCCUAGUGUGGCGGUGAAAUGCGUAGAUAUUAGGAGGAACACCAGUGGCGAAGGCGGCCUGCUGGACGACGACUGACGUUGAGGCUCGAAAGCGUGGGGAGCAAACAGGAUUAGAUACCCCAGUAGUU
rnacentral:rRNA from 1 species